rnacentral:rRNA from 1 species
UACAGAGGUCUCAAGCGUUAAUCGGAAUUACUGGGCUUAAAGGGUCCGCAGGCGGUUCAACAAGUACCUUGUGAAAUAUCAGGUCUCAACCCUGAAACUGCUCGGUAGACUGUUGGACUUGAGUGCAAAAGGGGUCGCUGGAACUCUAGGUGGAGCGGUGAAAUGCGUAGAUAUCUAGAGGAAGCCAAAGGUGAAGACAGGCGACUGGUUUGCAACUGACGCUCAUGGACGAAAGCGUGGGGAUCAAACGGG